UCCUCUGUUUUGUUGUGGGUUUGAUGUGUGCGCUGUGUCUGUCCAGCCGUCUGUAUUGUACAGUAGCCCCCAGUUGACAGCGUUUAAUAAGUAGUUUUCAUUAAUUUGCUGGUGCUGUAACAUGUAGUCUGCAUGAUCUAACUCAACUCGGCAUAGGUGAUCACCCAUGUACGUAGGAUCUGCUGCGUUGGAGGGUGGGACCUAGUGGUCAGGAACACCCUAGCAUGAUCAAGGGAAUAGUGUUGGAGGGUGGGACCUAGUGGUCAGGAACACCCUAGCUUGAUCAAGGGAAUAGUGCUACAGAUCACAGCGCUUGUAUUUAUGUGCACUUUUAAUUAAUUUGCAAACAAAAUGGAAACAAUCCAUUAUGGGGCAAAUUUAUAUCUGAACAGGACUUGCAGCAAUGUUAGAAGUAUAUAUUUUUGUAAAGGAUGAUAGAGAUAGCUAAUAAUGUAAUGUGGACAGAUCACUGUGUAUAGAUAUCAAAUAAAAAUGCAUUGAAAGCAUAAGGGUACAGGCUGUAUUACUAGACUGGGCAAUAUCAUGACCAUAAAACCUAUUGCCAGAAUUUGGUCUUGGAACUGAAUGAUCGUUGUUAGGAAUUUUGGUCAUGUUAGGGUAAAAAAUGUUACAGCAAGAGGGAUGCAGAUGUCUAAAGAUUGAUGCAGGUUGUUAUGUACUUUGGAGGUAUGGGAAUGGUAAAAUAGGAAUAUAAAGGGAAGUGUUGUAAGGGUACCUGGUAUAUUUUAUAAUGCAAUUAGGUCUGGAAGUAAAGGUUAAUAAGGGGAUGUUUGGGUUGAAUACUAAAUGGCAGGUAGAGGUCGUGGAAUAAGAAUGCCAGAAAUACUUAUAUUACAAGGUACAAGGAAGCUAGUGCUCUAUUAUGUUACUGGGUACAAGGAAGCUAGUGCUCUAUUAUGUUACAAGGUACAAGGAAGCUAGUGCUCUAUUAUGUUACAAGGUACAAGGAAGCUAGUGCUCUAUUAUGUUACAGGGUACAAGGAAGCUAGUGCUCUAUUAUGUUACAGGGUACAAGGAAGCUAGUGCUCUAUUAUGUUACAGGGUACAAGGAAGCUAGUGCUCUAUUAUGUUACAGGGUACAAGGAAGCUAGUGCUCUAUUAUGUUACAGGGUACAAGGAAGCUAGUGCUCUAUUAUGUUACAGGGUACAAGGAAGCUAGUGCUCUAUUAUGUUACAGGGUACAAGGAAGCUAGUGCUCUAUUAUGUUACAGGGUACAAGGAAGCUAGUGCUCUAUUAUGUUACAGGGUACAAGGAAGCUAGUGCUCUAUUAUGUUACAGGGUACAAGGAAGCUAGUGCUCUAUUAUGUUACAGGGUACAAGGAAGCUAGUGCUCUAUUAUGUUACAGGGUACAAGGAAGCUAGUGCUCUAUUAUGUUACAGGGUACAAGGAAGCUAGUGCUCUAUUAUGUUACAGGGUACAAGGAAGCUAGUGCUCUAUUAUGUUACAGGGUACAAGGAAGCUAGUGCUCUAUUAUGUUACAGGGUACAAGGAAGCUAGUGCUCUAUUAUGUUACAGGGUACAAGGAAGCUAGUGCUCUAUUAUGUUACAGGGUACAAGGAAGCUAGUGCUCUAUUAUGUUACAGGGUACAAGGAAGCUAGUGCUCUAUUAUGUUACAGGGUACAAGGAAGCUAGUGCUCUAUUAUGUUACAGGGUACAAGGAAGCUAGUGCUCUAUUAUGUUACAGGGUACAAGGAAGCUAGUGCUCUAUUAUGUUACAGGGUACAAGGAAGCUAGUGCUCUAUUAUGUUACAGGGUACAAGGAAGCUAGUGCUCUAUUAUGUUACAGGGUACAAGGAAGCUAGUGCUCUAUUAUGUUACAGGGUACAAGGAAGCUAGUGCUCUAUUAUGUUACAGGGUACAAGGAAGCUAGUGCUCUAGACAAAACUAGGCAGCCCUAUCAUAGAUUGGUGUACAUGAUAUAACUGUAUUCGACUUAAUUAGCACCCAAAGCACUUUACAGAUCCCCUCCCCC
rnacentral:lncRNA from 1 species